rnacentral:rRNA from 1 species
UGUGUAGGCGGGCUGUUAAGUCAGUGGUGAAAUCUCCGGGCUCAACCCGGAAACUGCCAUUGAUACUAUCAGUCUUGAAUAUCGUUGAGGUAGGCGGAAUAUAUCAUGUAGCGGUGAAAUGCAUAGAUAUGAUAUAGAACACCGAUUGCGAAGGCAGCUUACUAAACGAUUAUUGACGCUGAGGCACGAAAGCGUGGGGAUCAAACAGGAUUAGAUACCCUGGUAGUCCACGCCCUAAACGAUGAUUACUCGACAUACGCGAUACACAGUGUGUGUCUGAGCGAAAGCAUUAAGUAAUCCACCUGGGAAGUACGUCCGCAAGGAUGAA